GUGGGGAAUUUUGGACAAUGGGCGCAAGCCUGAUCCAGCAAUGCCGCGUGCAGGAAGAAGGCCUUCGGGUUGUAAACUGCUUUUGUACGGAACGAAACGGUCCUGGUUAAUACCCGGGGCUAAUGACGGUACCGUAAGAAUAAGCACCGGCUAACUACGUGCCAGCAGCCGCGGUAAUACGUAGGGUGCAAGCGUUAAUCGGAAUUACUGGGCGUAAAGCGUGCACAGGCGGUGCUGUAAGACAGGCGUGAAAUCCCCGGGCUUAACCUGGGAAUUGCGCUUGUGACUGCAGUGCUGGAGUGCGGCAGAGGGGGAUGGAAUUCCGCGUGUAGCAGUGAAAUGCGUAGAUAUGCGGAGGAACACCGAUGGCGAAGGCAAUCCCCUGGGCCUGCACUGACGCUCAUGCACGAAAGCGUGGGGAGCAAACAGGAUUAGAAACCCGUGUAGUCC
rnacentral:rRNA from 1 species